ensembl:snRNA U6 U6 spliceosomal RNA
GUGCUUUCUUUGGCAGCACAUAUACUAAAAUUGGAACGAUAUAGAGAUGUAUGAUCCCUGCGCAAGGAUGACACGCAGAUUCGUGAAGCGUUCCAUAUUUAA